GCAAGGAAAGUUGCGGAUGAUUUACAAUUCAGAAAGAAUGGCGAAAUAUUAUUAUCGUAUACGAAGAACGAUAAUUGGAAUCUUCUUCGGCUCGUCGUGAAGCGUCUGAGCGCAGAUCGGCUCGGCUCUCGAGCAAACUACACAUACAUAUAAGGAUUUCUCCGCUUUUCCUCCACAAACGUGAUUAUGAUUACAACGAAAAAGAAUGCCAUGUGAAAUUACCACAUCUUGUACAAAGUAUAUAACUAUGGACGUUAACGACACCAACAAAUGUUUCAUUUUCAUUGAUGGUGUAGUUAGAUGAAGACUGGAGAAUUGAACAAAUUACUGCAAGAGGGUGCAAUUUCACUCGAAUUAUGGUUAAUGAUCCCUUGUUUAAAGAUGUGAGUUUCGAAUCUGUUUCAAGAUGAAAAAACGUGCGAUUUUUUUCGAAAUAGAGGAGCUGGAAUUGCAUUGGAAAAAAUAUCAAAAAAUAAGAAAACAUUCGAGCUCAGCCUCUUCGAAAAUCUACAAAUAUCAACCGAGCAACGACGAGCCACAAAUCACUUUCAAAUUGCAUUUUGAAUUGAUAGCCCAUCUACCAUACAGGAACGUUGCCUUUUUUUCGAAAAUUAGAUGGUUGAAAAGGGAGUAAGAAGUAUUCACUAUUCACUUUUAAUUUUUUCAUAUUCUGAAAUGGCACCUUUCUACUUUAUGUUUAGGUAUAUGUAUAAUGAAAAUUCCAACUUUCAUCUUCAAAGUUCAAUGUUGAGCUUUUCAAAUUAUAUUCAUUUUUUCAGAAGAGCCUUCAAAGUUGAGUUAUUAGGCAAACGAUCGCAAAUGAGAGAAAAUUACAAGUCUUCUUCGACUUCCGAAAUAUCAGGACGGAAAUCAUGUUGUUCAUUUUUACCAUACUAUCGAAGCGAUUGGCGAACUGGUGAAAAAAAAAUUGAGCAACUUCAUUAUGAUGAUAUACGUAGAUCGAAUCAGAUGACAAUACAUAAAACAGGCGUUCAAGUUUUAUACAUUACAGCCAAGCCAAGAACCUACAAUACAUCUCGGAGUGCAAUCAUCUUUACGAGUAUUCCAACAAAAUUGUCAUCAUUCAGCCGGAAAAUUAACGACUCGAUGCGGUGGUAUAUCAAGUACACAUUAUAUGGCUCAUACACAUUCAAGAAAUCGCCAGGCAAUUCUAUAAUAUGUGUAUGCUUAUCAGAUGAUUCCAUUUUCAUUGUCGAUGAAAAGACGUAUAAUGUAUUAGAUAAAUACAGGCUGAUUUCCAAUUCGUCUGGAUUUCGUAGCCAUCUGAGAACUACAUACAAGCUGAUUAUUGUGUGGAGAAAAAGUGCCUACUGCUCACAUUGUACACGUAAUAUCUACGAGACGUAACUAUACGAAUCCGAUUGUGAGCAUAAGUAUUACGAAGAAGAGGGACAUGAAGAAGAUUACGAAUAGCUCAUAAAAUUGGUUAAUUUUUGGAUUCACAUGAGCUGAUUCCACAUUUCGAAAAUAAGGUGCCACAAGUUUCACUAACUUGAUUAUGGAAAUGAUUGACCAUCAAAUACUAAAAUUCCAUGGAGCUUUAAUUAGCGAUGAAACGAUUCGUCAGAAGUAUCAAAAUCACACGUCAAGAUUUCACUCCCAAAAAUCAGACCAUCAAAGUUUCGCAAAAAUACCUUCAGAACUGUCCCCCUCCCCCCCCCCUCUCCUUGAAAACGACAGAAAACAGAAGAGUACCUACCUACCUACCCACGUAAAAAACUUGACUUGGCAAUUUAGAAGACAACAGAAUCAACUUUUGAAGAAAUUCACACACUUCCACCGAAAGCAACAAAACUCGAUAGUCUAACGCAAGAAUAAGUACAUCAUAGAGCAGCCAAUGGUGUAAUAUUAUUGCAACCCAGAUGGAUUUAUUAAAAAAUUUAGCACCGAAAAUGUACAAAAUUAUCAGAAUUCGUAAUGGACGAACGCCUCCCCUUCAACUUCUCAAGGAAAGAAAAAGAAGAAAAAAAAAGAAGAAGGAAAAAAGAAAAAAGAAAAAAGGCGAAAGGAAGAGAGAAAAAAAAGAGGAAAGGAUCAUCCGUAUAUAGUAUACGAAGAAGUGAAACUUGCUUCGAAAAUGGUUUAAAAGGACGAUAAAUGUGAUUCUAAGGCCAAGUUGAUAAGUUACACCUAGUUAAUAAGAAGUUUCGGUCGCCGACAAGUGAAUAUUUUACAUACCUGGUUACCUUACCUACGUAUAACAACAUAUGCGAAUGACUCAUCAACCGAGCUUGCACUACGACGAAGUGGAAAAUUCAAAACAGCGAACACUACAGCCAGCUUACUUAGUACAUCACCUACCACAUAUUAUCUACAUAUACUUUGAUCGUCGAACGAGGAAAAAACAUCAGCAUAAAUAUAAUUUUAUAAAAAUACUACCCCAUAGUAUAGAUGGAAAAGUGCACAGGGUUCAAGUUGCGGUUUUCCUGUUUCCUGGUCAUUUUUUGGCAUCGAAUCAACGAAAAGGAAACGGAAGUGGAAAAAUGAAAGUACGAGUAUAGGCGCCGAAAUUUCAUGUGAAAUGAAAACAAAUCUUUUGAAUAACGCGAGGCUGUUAAACAAAGGUUGGAAUUUUCGAUCAAGUACAUGGUCACUUCACCAAAAACAAAAGCUAACUGAUUUGAAAAAAAAACUUAUAAUUAUUACAAAGUUUUGAAAGCUUAGAAAAAAACUCGAAAUAGAGUAUUUUAAACUACCAUUCGAUUUGCUUACUGUGUUCGAUAUACUCGUAUUUCAACGCAAAAAUUAUAAAGAAAACAAAAACCCAACUUCAAAAAAUGAAAAAUUUGCGUGAUUUUGCAUUGUAAGUUAGGUAAAUUAUUUUUCAAUUUUUCAAGAUUCAAUAGAGUGAUGCAGAGUAACUAGGUGUAAAGAAUUUAUAUUCAAAAGUACAUAAUUUGGGCCCAACGUUUUAAUCGAUUAUAAAUAUUUUUACAAAUGUGUACCUGUAGGACUAAGUAUAUUGAAAUACAUUGUUAGAAGUAACAAGUCCACUUUUAUAGAUUUUUUUUUCUGUUUUUAUGAAAUAAGAAAAAUUGAUGUAUGUGUAUUAUGUAUCAUUCUUAAGUACUGAUGAUCAAUUAUCAUUCUGAAUUUAAAAAAUUUUUCAUUUUUUUUUUUUUGUAUACGUGUAUGUAUUUGAUUUCCUGAUUUUUUUUCAACAGUGUUGAACCAAAAAAAAAACUGUAAAAUGUAUGAAAAAUAUUCUACCUUUUUUUGAGGUCAAUUGGCCAUGAUGUUUUGUUAGGAUCUAGGCUCCGUAAAAUUUUUUUAAAAAUUAAACAACGAAUCACCAUAGCAUAGGACCAAAAAAAAUUCGAAUGAGCACAAAAUUUACACACUUUCAAUUCAAAAUUUAAAGCUGCCCUUGAUUAUCAAAAAAAAAGAAAAAAAAUCCAACAUUGAAGUGGAUAAAUUAACGCACUCACUACCUAAGUGAUAACCUCAUUGCCGAGUAAUUUUUUGAGGAAAGGGAAUAGUUAUUUUUGAGGUAAAAGUGAGGCUAAAUUUGUUCAAUAAAAAAAAUAUA